rnacentral:rRNA from 1 species
AUUGAACGCUGGCGGCAGGCCUAACACAUGCAAGUCGACCGCGUCGCGGACGGGUGAGUAAUGUCUGUGACACUUCCUGAUGGAGGGGGCUUACUAUUGGACCCUGUUGCUCAUCCCGCAUUCCUUCGGUUGUGCCCAGAUGGGAUUAGCUAGUUGGUGGGGUAAAGGCUCACCUCGUCGACGAUCCCUAGCUGGUCUGCGAGGAUGACCAGCCACACUGGAACGGAGACACGGUCCAGACUCCUACGGGAGGCAGCAGUGGGGAAUAGUGCACAAUGGGCGCAAGCCUGAUGCAGCCAUGCCGCGUGUGUGAAGAAGGCAUUCGGGUUGUAAAGUACUUUCAGCGGGGAGGCGUUACCCGCAGAAGAAGCACCGGCUAACUCCGUGCCAGCAGCCGCGGUAAUAC